rnacentral:rRNA from 1 species
AUUGAACGCUGGCGGCAUGCCUUACACAUGCAAGUCGAACGGUAGAGGGGGCAACCCCUCGAGAGUGGCGAACGGGUGAGUAAAGCAUCGGAACGUGCCCAGUAGUGGGGGAUAGCCCGGCGAAAGCCGGAUUAAUACCGCAUGAGACCUACGGGUGAAAGGGGGGGAUCGCAAGACCUCUCGCUAUUGGAGCGGCCGAUGUCAGAUUAGGGAGUUGGUGGGGUAAAGGCCUAUCAAGCCGACGAUCUGUAGCUGGUCUGAGAGGACGACCAGCCACACUGGGACUGAGACACGGCCCAGACUCCUACGGGAGGCAGCAGUGGGGAAUUUUGGACAAUGGGCGCAAGCCUGAUCCAGCCAUGCCGCGUGCGGGAAGAAGGCCUUCGGGUUGUAAACCGCUUUUGUCGGGGAAGAAAUCCUUUGAGCUAAUACCUCGGGGGGAUGACGGUACCUGAAGAAUAAGCACCGGCUAACUACGUGCCAGCCGCCGCCGUAAUAC